rnacentral:misc_RNA from 1 species
UUUCCGUAGGUGAACCUGCGGAAGGAUCAUUAUUGAAUGAAACACUUCUGGCUUUAUGCUGUUGUGCUGGCCCUUUGGGCAAUGUGCACACGGCUCUGGUCACUUGUUUCUUCUGUUCCACCUGUGCACUGCCUGUAGACACGCUGUGUCUAUGAUAUUUGCUAACACACAACAAUGUUAGUUGGCAUGUUAUAUAUAAUAAUAAAAUAUACAACUUUCAACAACGGAUCUCUUGGCUCUCGCAUCGAUGAAGAACUCAGC